AUACCCGCUGAACUUAAGCAUAUCAAAACGGGGAGCUAG
rnacentral:rRNA from 1 species